CCUACGGGUGGCAGCAGUGGGGGAUAUUGCACAAUGGGGGAAACCCUGAUGCAGCGACGCCGCGUGGGUGAAGAAGCGCCUCGGCGCGUAAAGCCCUGUCAGCAGGGAAGAAAAUGACGGUACCUGAAGAAGAAGCCCCGGCUAACUACGUGCCAGCAGCCGCGGUAAUACGUAGGGGGCACGCGUUAUCCGGAUUUACUGGGUGUAACGGGGGCGCAGACGGCGAUGCAAGCCAGGAGUGAAAGCCCGGGGCUCAACCCCGGGACUGCUCUUGGAACUGCGUGGCUAGAGUGCCGGAGGGGCAGGCGGAAUUCCUGGUGUAGCGGUGAAAUGCGUAGAUAUCAGGAGGAACACCGGUGGCGAAGGCGGCCGGCUGGACUGCAACUGACGUUGAGGCCCGAAAGCGUGGGGAGCAAACAGGAUUAGAUACCCUAGUAGUC
rnacentral:rRNA from 1 species